CACGGUCCAACCCCACCGGGGCCGGAGCCCCAGGGGCGCCCGCGCGGCCGCCCCUCCCCCACGCGCCCCUCCCCCACGCCGCCGUCCGGCCGCCAGGGUCUCCGCGGUCCCUCGCGCGGCCAGGGAGGGGGCCCUGGCUUCGCCUCGGCCGUUUCCUGCCUACCCCCUCCCCGCCGAGGGUAAAAAAAAAAAAAAUCUCCUCCUCCUCCUCCCCCGAAAGCCGCGACCGAGUGGCCCGGUCCGCGCGCGCAGCUCGCGCCCAGCGCUCUUCAGCCCGGGCGGCGGCAGCAGCGGCGGCAGCGGCGGCGGCGGCGGGGGAGGGGUGCGGCGGGGGAGGGGAGGAGGCCUGGCCGGGCGGCCGCCGCCGCCCGCCCGGACCGCCCGGACCGCCGCGGGGCGACGGGCCCGAGACGGCGCCCCGCGCCCCGGAUUCGCCUCGGCUCGGCCGCGCGUAUAUUUCCCUUCCUCCAUGAUCUCCAACACUGAUAAAGUGGAAGAAACUGAGGUACCAAGAAACAGAAAAGUAACUGGGACUGAAAAAAAGAAAGAGAUCUGUGUGGAAGGAUGUCCAUGAUAGAUUUUACAGAGAGAGAAGAAGAGAAAGGAAAUGAAUUUUUAUACUUCUGUACAACUUGAAAAUUUUUCAACAUACAGGGCCAGCUGGUACUGAUAGGCUGCAGGCCAAAGAGGAUCACAAGUGACCAACAGCUCCAGCCAAUUGGGCCGCAGCCCUGGAGCCCUCCAAGCCCACCCCUCUACAGGGCUCACUCCCCAGGGACCCAGCCCCUCGACGCUGAGUGGCUCACCCCACCACCUGGCACCACUCUCUCACCGGUGAG